rnacentral:pre_miRNA from 1 species
AAAGUACUCCCUCCGUCCCAAAAUUCUUGUCCUAGAUUUGUCUAGAUACAGAUGUAUCAAGUCACAUUUUAGUAUUAGAUACAUCCGUAUCUAGACAAAUCUAAGACAUGAAAUUUGGGACAGAGGGAGUAGUAA